CACCCUCGGCACGGCGCUUGCGCGUCCCGGGGAUGCGCGUCCCUCUCGCACACCCCCCCGCGUGCUCUCCUGCCUCCCUGACUAUCCGUUCUGCGGAUGCCUUCUCGGUCUCACUCUCUCUCUCUCUCUCUCUUUCGCUUCUCCCUCUUCGGUCCACGCCAUCCCUCCGUUCGUCCCCAUUCUCCGCGAGCGCGCUCGCCUCCUCUCUCGCCUGUUACCCGCUUUUCCUCUCUAUUCCUCUUUUCUGUUAGGUGGCCGCUACUUUUAUCGGCCUAUCCUCUCCCUCCCGCUCGCCGUUAUCUCGCAGGACCAUGCACCACGUUUCUCGCUGAAGCGACUCUUCACCGAAUACGCAACGACAAAAUCCAUUAUUUCUCGUUGCAUUUUGAUGUCGAGUAAAUAACGUUGUCUCACGUAAUGACGUGUACAAGAGUGACGCUCGGAACAAUGGAAAUUAUUUCGCUGAAAUUAAAAUGCGCUGGGAUAGCCAGAUACCGGAUAAUACACAGCGCAAUUUUACUGUAAUGUAAUUUUAUUAUACCAUUGUAGUAAAGGGGAGCUAAUCUUCUGUAAUUUCGAUGUGGUACGAUGUCGGUGCCUUCCUUCAGACGUUAUCCAUUACCGCCGUCGAACUAUGAAUUUUAAAAGCAACCCCCUUUUUUCCUCUCUCCUUCUCUCUCUCUCUCUCUUUCUCUUUCUCUUUCUCGCAUCGCUCGUAACUAGCAAGCCGAAUGGAUUACGCGAGGCGCGAAAAUCCGGGAAUCGAAUACGAGAGUUGAGAAAUAACGGGAAACCGCCCCGAAGGCAAAUUUGACUUGCAUCGAAAAACGUUCAUCGAUGCCAACGAACUGGCGUAACUUUUUUUUGCAAAACGACGGUAGAGAAUUAAUCCAUUCGUACGAUUGGAUUGCAGUCUAACUCCCGUGUGUUCGUUCUACUUGGGAUAAAUAAUGAAAUUUAGUUUGGACAGCUAUCGAUAAAUUUUUGCGAUAUUAAAAAUUAUUUCAAAAAUGCAAAACACUCGCUUACGUUUUUAAAAUUUAAAUAAAGUUUUUUUUAGAUCAACUAAAAAAACGGCCGGUAAUUAAGCAGUCAAAUUAAUCGAUAAGGUUACUAACGAUAGAGAGUCUAAAAAAAAUCCGUGACACUUUAUAUAUUUAUAGGUUAAUGCAGAAAAUAUAAGAGCCACAUAAAAAAAAACACUUUUUUUUUUCAUUAAACUUGAAAUAGGUAGACACACUUUUAUGGCAUUUGUCCCAGGGUUCUUUACAGCUUUUCUAAAGUGGAAUGUUGAAAAUAAGCAAAAAAUGAAUGCAAAAAACUAAGUAGUCCAGGACUCUGUAAAAUUUAUGCUUUAAUUUUUCAUUGAUACAAAUGCAGAGAGAAACCAAGUCUAAUUUCUUCAGAUUUAAGUUUCUAACUUAAUACACAUGCACCUCAAUCAGGAAUGUGACAAAAAUAUUACCGUCAUACAUAUUUAAAUUCACAAAAGUUAAUCCGUGUUAGCUUAUUGUAACUAAAAGUUUAGUUUCGUUGUAACUAGAAAAUUAAACAGCUUUUCGUUAAUACUGAGAAAUGUUAUACUCGUGCACCCUUCUUCUGCACUCGCCGAUUCAUUUAUACAAAACAGAAACGGCAUGGUGAUUUCACGCAGGUAGAUCCGAGAGCAUUAUUGCCGAAUUUAUAAUGCAAUGUAAUUUAACGUUUCAUAUACGGGCAAAAUAGUGGCGGCUUCGUUCUAAAAUUUGCACGGCGAAUACGUUCGAGUAAAUUUGCGAGCGUGUGCAACCUAGUUGUGAAAUUUCAUGUCUACUAGCUUAAUUAAAGCGGUGCUAUGUGCCAUGGUUUGUAUACAUACAGUGAUGAAUAGUCUGUUUUUAAAAGAAAUACGAGAAAUAAAAAGAGAAAUCAAAAGAGAGAGAAAAAUGGAAAAAGGAAGAGAGAGAGAGAGAGAGACAGAGAGAGAAAGGUAGUUUUACGCUUGCAUAAAAUAAUAUGUACGUGCAUCUCGCUGCAAGAUGCAACCGUUAAAACGUUAUCACCAAUUAUUAUACGCUUUUAGAGCGAAGCCGCCAUACGGUAAGGAAACACCGCUGGAGCAGGGUAAUGAAACUGAUGGUAAAGUUCUGUUCGUCGGAACUCCUUCGUGGAAUUAUCGUAAGGAUGGGUGAAUCGCCUUGAAGCCGCAUAAAGAUUCGUGCCAUCAAGCUGCAUAUUGUACCGAGCAAUUCGAAUAAAAGUUUUCGGCUUUCCGCAUGCUUUUAUUCCCAUUUCUGUACACAAGAAGUAUAGCGACUUAAUAAUUCGAGUUGAACUCUGGUUCCUCCAUCUUUUAUUUGUACUAGUGGAUUUCUAUGUAAACGACUUUAUAUUUGAAGAAGAAAAAUGUUGAUUUCCUCGCAUUUCACUUGCAAACGGACUUUCUUACUUGUAUAAAAUAUUCGGAUUCUUUUCACAAAAAUUGUCAUAAGUCAUAAAAUAUAAAUAUUUC
rnacentral:lncRNA from 1 species